UGGUGGAGCGAUUUGUCUGGUCAAUUCCGAUAACGAACGAGACUCUAGCCUACUAAAUAGUUCGGGGACCCCCACAAGGGCCGCCUCUAACUUCUUAGAGGGACAGGUGGCGUUUAGCCACACGAGAUUGAGCAAUAACA
rnacentral:rRNA from 1 species